rnacentral:rRNA from 1 species
UACGUAGGGUGCAAGCGUUGUCCGGAAUUAUUGGGCGUAAAGAGCUCGUAGGCGGUUUGUCGCGUCGAAUGUGAAAACCCGGGGCUCAACCCCGGGCCUGCAGCCGAUACGGGCAGACUAGAGUUCGGCAGGGGAGACUGGAAUUCCUGGUGUAGCGGUGAAAUGCGCAGAUAUCAGGAGGAACACCGGUGGCGAAGGCGGGUCUCUGGGCCGAUACUGACGCUGAGGAGCGAAAGCGUGGGGAGCAAACAGG